GGUGGUGAUAGCGGUGGGGAAACGCCCGGUGCCCAUUCCGAACCCGGUAGCUAAGCCUGCCAGCGCUGAUGGUACUGCACUCUAGGGGGUGUGGGAGAGUAAGACGCUGCC
rnacentral:rRNA from 1 species